rnacentral:rRNA from 1 species
UGAGGAAUAUUGCGCAAUGGGGGCAACCCUGACGCAGCGACGCCGCGUGGAUGAUGAAGGCCUUCGGGUUGUAAAAUCCUGUCAGAUGGGAAGAAAUGUACGAUUAUUAAGAGUAGUCGUAUUUGACGGUACCAUCAAAGGAAGCACCGGCUAACUCCGUGCCAGCAGCCGCGGUAAUACGGAGGGUGCGAGCGUUGUUCGGAAUUACUGGGCGUAAAGCGCGCGUAGGCGGCCAUGCAAGUCAGAUGUGAAAGCCCACGGCUCAACCGUGGACGUGCAUUUGAAACUGGGUGGCUUGAGUACUGGAGGGGGUGGUGGAAUUCCCGGUGUAGAGGUGAAAUUCGUAGAGAUCGGGAGGAAUACCGGUGGCGAAGGCGACCACCUGGCCAGAUACUGACGCUGAGGUGCGAAAGCGUGGGGAGCAAACA